rnacentral:rRNA from 1 species
UGUGUGUUAGUGGAAGCGUCUGGAAAGGCGCGCGAUACAGGGUGACAGCCCCGUACACAAAAAUGCACAUGCUGUGAGCUCGAUGAGUAGGGCGGGACACGUGGUAUCCUGUCUGAAUAUGGGGGGACCAUCCUCCAAGGCUAAAUACUCCUGACUGACCGAUAGUGAACCAGUACCGUGAGGGAAAGGCGAAAAGAACCCCGGCGAGGGGAGUGAAAAAGAACCUGAAACCGUGUACGUACAAGCAGUGGGAGCACGCUUAGGCGUGUGACUGCGUACCUUUUGUAUAAUGGGUCAGCGACUUAUAUUCUGUAGCAAGGUUAACCGAAUAGGGGAGCCGAAGGGAAACCGAGUCUUAACUGGGCGUUAAGUUGCAGGGUAUAGACCCGAAACCCGGUGAUCUAGCCAUGGGCAGGUUGAAGGUUGGGUAACACUAACUGGAGGACCGAACCGACUAAUGUUGAAAAAUUAGCGGAUGACUUGUGGCUGGGGGUGAAAGGCCAAUCAAACCGGGAGAUAGCUGGUUCUCCCCGAAAGCUAUUUAGGUAGCGCCUCGUGAAUUCAUCUCCGGGGGUAGAGCACUGUUUCGGCAAGGGGGUCAUCCCGACUUACCAACCCGAUGCAAACUGCGAAUACCGGAGAAUGUUAUCACGGGAGACACACGGCGGGUGCUAACGUCCGUCGUGAAGAGGGAAACAACCCAGACCGCCAGCUAAGGUCCCAAAGUCAUGGUUAAGUGGGAAACGAUGUGGGAAGGCCCAGACAGCCAGGAUGUUGGCUUAGAAGCAGCCAUCAUUUAAAGAAAGCGUAAUAGCUCACUGGUCGAGUCGGCCUGCGCGGAAGAUGUAACGGGGCUAAACCAUGCACCGAAGCUGCGGCAGCGACGCUGAUGCGUUGUUGGGUAGGGGAGCGUUCUGUAAGCCUGCGAAGGUGUGCUGUGAGGCAUGCUGGAGGUAUCAGAAGUGCGAAUGCUGACAUAAGUAACGAUAAAGCGGGUGAAAAGCCCGCUCGCCGGAAGACCAAGGGUUCCUGUCCAACGUUAAUCGGGGCAGGGUGAGUCGACCCCUAAGGCGAGGCCGAAAGGCGUAGUCGAUGGGAAACAGGUUAAUAUUCCUGUACUUGGUGUUACUGCGAAGGGGGGACGGAGAAGGCUAUGUUGGCCGGGCGACGGUUGUCCCGGUUUAAGCGUGUAGGCUGGUUUUCCAGGCAAAUCCGGAAAAUCAAGGCUGAGGCGUGAUGACGAGGCACUACGGUGCUGAAGCAACAAAUGCCCUGCUUCCAGGAAAAGCCUCUAAGCAUCAGGUAACAUCAAAUCGUACCCCAAACCGACACAGGUGGUCAGGUAGAGAAUACCAAGGCGCUUGAGAGAACUCGGGUGAAGGAACUAGGCAAAAUGGUGCCGUAACUUCGGGAGAAGGCACGCUGAUAUGUAGGUGAAGUCCCUUGCGGAUGGAGCUGAAAUCAGUCGAAGAUACCAGCUGGCUGCAACUGUUUAUUAAAAACACAGCACUGUGCAAACACGAAAGUGGACGUAUACGGUGUGACGCCUGCCCGGUGCCGGAAGGUUAAUUGAUGGGGUCAGCGCAAGCGAAGCUCUUGAUCGAAGCCCCGGUAAACGGCGGCCGUAACUAUAACGGUCCUAAGGUAGCGAAAUUCCUUGUCGGGUAAGUUCCGACCUGCACGAAUGGCGUAAUGAUGGCCAGGCUGUCUCCACCCGAGACUCAGUGAAAUUGAACUCGCUGUGAAGAUGCAGUGUACCCGCGGCAAGACGGAAAGACCCCGUGAACCUUUACUAUAGCUUGACACUGAACAUUGAGCCUUGAUGUGUAGGAUAGGUGGGAGGCUUAGAAGUGUGGACGCCAGUCUGCAUGGAGCCGACCUUGAAAUACCACCCUUUAAUGUUUGAUGUUCUAACGUUGACCCGUAAUCCGGGUUGCGGACAGUGUCUGGUGGGUAGUUUGACUGGGGCGGUCUCCUCCUAAAGAGUAACGGAGGAGCACGAAGGUUGGCUAAUCCUGGUCGGACAUCAGGAGGUUAGUGCAAUGGCAUAAGCCAGCUUGACUGCGAGCGUGACGGCGCGAGCAGGUGCGAAAGCAGGUCAUAGUGAUCCGGUGGUUCUGAAUGGAAGGGCCAUCGCUCAACGGAUAAAAGGUACUCCGGGGAUAACAGGCUGAUACCGCCCAAGAGUUCAUAUCGACGGCGGUGUUUGGCACCUCGAUGUCGGCUCAUCACAUCCUGGGGCUGAAGUAGGUCCCAAGGGUAUGGCUGUUCGCCAUUUAAAGUGGUACGCGAGCUGGGUUUAGAACGUCGUGAGACAGUUCGGUCCCUAUCUGCCGUGGGCGCUGGAGAACUGAGGGGGGCUGCUCCUAGUACGAGAGGACCGGAGUGGACGCAUCACUGGUGUUCGGGUUGUCAUGCCAAUGGCACUGCCCGGUAGCUAAAUGCGGAAGAGAUAAGUGCUGAAAGCAUCUAAGCACGAAACUUGCC